AUUGAACGCUGGCGGCAGGCCUAACACAUGCAAGUCGAACGAGUGGCGGACGGGUGAGUAAUGUCUGGGAAACUGCCAGAUGGAGGGGGAUAACUACUGGAAACGGUAGCUAAUACCGCAUACCCUCGGAUGUGCCCAGAUGGGAUGAGCUAGGAGGAGGGGUAACGGCUCACUUAGGCGACGCUCCCUAGCUGGUCUGAGAGGAUGACCAGCCACACUGGAACUGGUACACGGUCCAGACUCCGACGGGAGGGAGCAGUGGGGAAUAUUGCACAAGGGGCGCAAGCCGUAUGCAGCCAUGCCGCGUGUAUGAAGAAGGCCUUCGGGUUGUAAAGUACUUUCAGCGAGGAGGCGUUACUCGCAGAAGAAGCACCGGCUAACUCCGUGCCAGCAGCCGCGGUAAUUC
rnacentral:rRNA from 1 species